rnacentral:rRNA from 1 species
GAUGAACGCUGGCGGCGUGCCUAAUACAUGCAAGUCGAGCGAACAGACGAGGAACUUGCUCCUCUGACGUUAGCGGCGGACGGGUGAGUAACACGUGGAUACCCUACCUAUAAGACUGGGAUAACUUCGGGAAACCGGAGCUAAUACCGGAUAAUAUAUUGAACCGCAUGGUUCAAUAGUGAAAGACGGUUUUGCUGUCACUUAUAGAUGGAUCCGCGCCGCAUUAGCUAGGUGGUAGGGUAACGGCUUACCAAGGCAACGAUGCGUAGCCGACGUGAGAGGGGGAUAGGCCAAACUGGAAGUGAGACAGGGUCAAGAGGCCUACGGGAGGCAGCAGUAGGGAAUCGUCGGCAAUGGGCGAAAGCCUGACGGAGCAACGUCGCGUGAGUGAUGAAGGUGUUCUGAGCGGAAAACUCGGUUAUUAGGGAAGAAUAAAUGUGUAAGUAACUAUGGACGUCUUGACGGUACCUAAUCAGAAAGCCACGGCUAACUACGUG